rfam:Triticum aestivum genome assembly, contig: Triticum_aestivum_CS42_TGACv1_scaffold_362028_4DS
CACGUACUCCCUCCGUCCCAAAAUUCCUGUCUUAGAUUAGUCUAGAUACGGCUAAUACGAAAACGUGACUUGAUACAUUCGUAUCUAGACAAAUUUAAAACGAGAAUUUUGGGACGGAGGGAGUAUUAG